rnacentral:lncRNA from 1 species
GAAAAUCUGGUGGUCUUCAGCCUUUCCUCCAUUUUUUCAUCAGUCCUGUGACUUCCCCACCAAUUUAACAUCAUUUCAACAACUUUUCUUGAUCAAAUCAAACCCAAAAGAUGUCCACCGCCACUGUCAAACAGCUUUUUCCCAUCCACAUCAGUCUGAUUUUUAGGCUUUCUCUUUUUCCAAUUUGGUCCCUUUCUGUCUCUCUGAGAUUUGAGAGUUUGUUCCAAUGCCCCUCAAGUUCGCCUAUAAACGCGGCCGUUUGGACUGUCAAUUUUAGGGGUUCAAGAAAAAACACCAAGAAAAUUUAUAAAAAAUUAGCAUUUAAAAGAUUAGUAUACCGUUACUCCAUUUGCUCUCGCCCUCUUCCCAAAUUCAGGCGCAAGUCCGAGUUUGAGUUCGAGUUAUAGUUUCCGACGAGAAAGCCUUAGUUCGCUGCCCCCACAAGGUAAAUUCUAUCCCGUCUAAUUUUAUUAUAUUUAUCUUUCGAUGAUUCGCUGAUCGUUUGAGUCUAUUAUUUCCGUUUGGCCGAUCAUAAGCAUAAAUCUGAGAUGAAAUAACGUCUGGCUAUUCAAUUUCGUUCGUCGUCUAAUGUUUAUGAAAUAUCUUAGUUCAUGAUUUGGCUUGAAUAUUUUAAAAUCGGAAGCCUCGGUUGAAGUAGACUGCUUUAUCUUGGUUGGCUGGGAAUGCACAUUCGAAGCAGUUAUGUGUAUCACGUAGUUAGUCGGGUUGUUAACUGUUGGUUUUGAAGAUGAAAUAUGUGAAACAAUAAUCUGUUUUGGCUUUCCAAUUCACUCAAGUUGGUUUGGCUGUGAAUGCAUAUUUGAAGCAGUUAUGUAUAGCGUAGUUAUUCGCAUUGUUAACUAUUGGUCUUGAAGAUGAAAAACGUGAAAUAAUAAUCUAUUUUGGCUUUCUGAUUUAUUCAGUUUGGUCACUGUGUGGGGUUUGUUUUGCCUUUAAAUGUGCAAUUUUAUGUAGAUUAGAGAAAAUGAUAUGGUUUGGAGACGUUGUGUCUGGUCAAGAAUGAAGAGUAUGUCGAUCUAUCACGUAAAUAUCCAUCCGUUUAUUUCACCUUUGUCUCUUUCCAUCCUGUCUGCUCUUGUUCUGCGAACACAUGAUUUGUUUUGACUUUAAACUAUGUUGAUGUUGCUAUUUGUUUUUUGCAAGUUGAGUUCAAGAACAUAAUUUCACCUCGACUUUCCUUUGUUUCAAUAAAUGAUUGUUUUUGCGUCUAACAUGCGAAUUCUCCCCUUGUUGUUUCCUUUUUCUUUCCCUUUUUAAAGUUCUCAUGAAUAUGCAAGACUAUUUAAACUUUGACUAAGCCUACAUUGUUUUGUGUUUCGGGUGGUUGAUGCAAUGUUGAUUCUGAAAUAUUUAUUUCGUUUGUGAGUAUAUGAGUCUGUGAAUAUAUGUAUUUGCAUGUUUAUUUGUUUUGGAGAUUGCCUGUUGUUUCUUGUUGUAAUACGAGUUCAUAAAUCGUUAAUUGGGAUUCCAGAGAAUUGUAUAAGGGUGUAUAUUCGAAUGACAUACAAAUCAUUUAAGGAUCAUAUAUGUUGGAAUAUGCUUAUUCUUGUUCUGUCUUCCCCUACCAGAAUAAAGGUUUAACGUCUUCAAGGCUUUUCUAAUUUUUUUGUUAUGUCUUCUGACUCCUUAUUUGCGCUUUCGCUAAAUGGAAUAGAGGCUGGUUUGUUUUCAUUCUUCCAUUCUAAAUUGGAAAAUUCCAAGUUUUUGUUAUCUUUGUAGUAUUCUUGUCUAAUUUAUAACUCGUGCCUGCGGUUGUGUGAUUAGUUUCAAGUUACUUUCUUUCUUUAGUGGUAAGAAAUAACAUAGGGAUGGGAGAGUUCUAAUGAAAUCCUUCAAAGAUAGAAAUAAAUCUUGGACGCCAUAAUACUCCUUCAAGUUGGUGUACGGACUAAGUUUUGGUUAGCAGAUGACUCAUUUUAUUCUUUGAUAGAUGUUAAUAGCUAAACAAUUUUGAGUCAUUCGUGGCUUAGCAUUUGAUAGCCUAAAGGCUAUGAAACUCACGAAAUGGACUCACAAGAUGCAAAUUCCAGCAACUAACAAAGAGAAAAACGACACAUAGAAUGGAGAUAAAGAAGAGGAAUACUUGAAAUUUAAAGAUAGAUAGAAAGACCCUUACUCCUAUUAAGUGAUUAGCACUAGAAGAUGUUUCAAAAUCUUCAACACACCUCACAAAUAAGAGUUCAAACCUUCCUCUUAGGUGACCCAAAGGAAACACUCUUCCUCAAACCACCUUUCUUGCCAAAUUAUCCAAAACAAGUGAAACCCUAACUUCAAAUGUUCUUGGACCUUAGUUUUGGAUUCUAAGACCUAAAUCUACAGAGUAAAACUACAAUAUAAGAGUAAUAUCAAAUGUUAUCCAAGUCUAAUGAAAAGAGAAGUAAAAUGGUCUAUACUAUUACAUUUAAUGGACAAAAAUGCCCUUAAUGAGGGAGGGAAUUUGGGGCGCCUCUUGAGUGUUGUCUUGGAGUGCAUGAUGACUUCAAUGCCCUUCACUUGAGGCGCCUCUUGAGUGUAUAAGUUCCCUUCCUUCCUUCUCUAGACCAAGGCUUCAAAAUGCUCUGAAAAGUCUUCAAUUGAUUGCUAAUUCCAAAGCCUCAACCCUUAGACCAUACUUUGUGCUUUUGAUGCUCCUUGUGCUUGUAUCAUCCUCUCCAUCUUGAAGGAAUUUGUCCUCAAAUUCAGAUCUUGGAAAACCAAAGAGAGAGCAAAAGCAAACACAAAAUCCCCUUGGUAGGAGUGUUAGCAUUAGUACCACACUUAUAUCAUCAACCCAUGGUUGCUCACACUUAACAUACAUCCACAUAUCCUUGGUUUUUAACUUAAAAAGCUUAGCAUAAAGGGUACCAAAGACAUGAAUAGCCUCAAUAUCAAGAAUAAGUGAGCACGACCAGCAACUAUAACCUUCACAUCUCAAGAGUAUUCCGGGGUCAAAUGGGAGCAAAUGAUAAAAGUUUAAGUCUAGAUGGCUCUUUCCUUUCACUAGGUUACCAAGUUCACAAUCAUUCAAGACAUUAUCCACCACUAGGACGAACACAAAGUCACUAUGAACAAGAUUAAUAUAAUAGUUUUCAUUACACAAGUUCAAUGGACCAUGUUCAAUAUCAAGACCAUCAUUACUAACAUCAACACUAACUUGGAAGUUUCCAAUAACACUAUUCUCAUGUUCAAGUAGUGGACUAAUUUUAAGAGCAAGUUGAUCAUUAUUCACAACAAAAGAGUUACUAAGAAAAGAGGUAUGCACUUGCAAACCCAAAACCACUUCACUAGACACUAAAUCACAAUAUUUUGAAUUCAAGAAAGUGUAAAGAGUAGUGAAGUCACCUUGGGUAAGGCUUGGGCAGUCCACUAUUUUGGCGCUUUUGGUCAAAGGAGUCUCUAGUUCAUUUCUCAUGCUUUCAUAUGAAACUCUUUUUAGAUCCUUCUUGAUUAUCAUUUCAUGUAGUACCUGCAUAUAAGAAGAAUCAAAGCUAGGCAAAAUGCUAGCUUUUGGGUUAGGAAGUGACAAUGGUUCUUUGUGGACAAGAUCCACAAUCAAACAAUUUUUUUCCUUUUCUACUUAACUACCCGAGGUUUCGCUUUUCCUUUCCUUCUUUUCUUCACAUUUUUCUUGUGCCUCAACAUCAAGCUUCUCUCCAUCUUGAAAACCGACCUUAUCACCCUCGGAUUCUAUCACCAUCUCUUCUUUUAGUCGUAUGGGGUGAUUUUGGUUUAGGGAAUCUUGGAGAGGAGGCAUUGGAUUACAUUGGUAAUGUAUUUGGAUUUGUGGCAUGGGAUUUUGUGGAGUGUGGUGUCCUUGGUAAAGUGGAUUUGGGACUUGGUGGUUUGAAUUUUGUGGAGGCUUUGGUGGAUAUAAUCUAUCAACCCUCGCUUUCAUUCUAAUCACACCACCCGUCAAGGAUGCCAUUUCACUCCUCAUAGAAUCCAUAUCACCCAUUAUAACAUCAUGAUUAUCAUUUAUUUUUCGGCCCAAGGCCUCAAGUCGAGCCAUCAAGGCUCCAAUAGCAUCAUUUCCCAAGAGUUGGGAGGUAGUACCUUCAGGUUCCAUGACAAAUGUACCUAACAGAAGCAAAAAACAGCAAGCAAAACAACCUACAAAACGAGCAAACAAGUUAGUUCAAAAGCCUCACUUCACUCACACUCAACCUCACCUCACACUUGGCCUCACAAGUGUUUGGGAAUCGGCAAUACUUGGCUUCGGAAUUGGCAAUCAAUUGAAGACUUUUCAGAGCAUUUUGAAGCCUUGAUCAAGAGAAGGAAGGAAGGGAACUUAUACACUCAAGAGGCGCCUCAAGUGAAGGGCAUUGAAGUCAUUAUGCACUCCAAAACAACACUCAAGAGGCGCCCCAAAUUCCCUCCCUCAUUAAGGGCAUUUUUGUCCAUUAAAUGUAAUAGUAUAAAUAGACCAUUUUACUUCUCUUUUCAUUAGACUUGGAUGACAUUUGAUAUUACUCUUAUAGUGUAGUUUUACUCUCUAGAUUUAGGUCUUAGAAUCCGAAACUAAGGUCCAAGAACAGUUGAAGUUAGAGUUUCACUUGUUUUGGAUAAUUUGGCAAGAAAGGUGGUUUGAGGAAGAGUGUUUCCUUUGGGUCACCUAAGAGGAAGGUUUGAACUCUUAUUUGUGAGGUGUGUUGAAGAUUUUGAAACAUCUUCUAGUGCUAAUCACUUAAUAGGAGUAAGGGUCUUUCUAUCUAUCUUUAAAUUUCAAGUAUUCCUCUUCGUUAUCUCCAUUCUAUGUGUUGUUUUCUCUUUGUUAGUCGCUUGAAUUUGCAUCUUGUGAGUCCAUUUCGUGAGUUUCAUAGCCUUUAGACUAUCAUUUGGUAUCAAAGCCUUGGUUAGGGUUGUUCCAACAUCCCUAAAUCUUGGUUUUAGUGUUCUUAUAUAGAAAAUCUCAUCAAAGAAGAGUCAAAAAUCAGAAAAUACCAAAAAAAUUGUGUGUUGUCUUGUGUGUUUGUUGUAGAUCCGAAUUUUUCAAGUUAAAUCUACAAGUUUUUAUUGUGUUUUGAAGGUGUCUAGUGCUAGAUCCUUUCUCUCUAGCACAUAGGGAGUCUAGAUCUACUUUUAGAGUGAAGUUUGGUUGGUUUUGAGCUAGAUCCACCAUUGUAGUGGCUUGUUUGAAGCUUAUUGGAGGGGGGGGGGACAUUUUUGGCUUGUGUUGGUGACGUUUUUGGCUUGUGUUGGUGACUUGAUUUGUUGCUGAGUUUUAGUGGGCUGAGUUUGUUUUGGCCUAAGGAACCUAGAUCUUUAAAAAAAAUCAGAUUUGGAGUUCAUUUGCAAGGUGGUCAAACUUGGUCAACACUUGAAUAUUCAUAUUGUUCAUCCAUGAUCUUCAUAUCUUAGUGAAGAAGAAUAUUCAAAGGUGUUGUUUGAUCCUAUAGAGGGAAGAAAGGGAGUGGAAAAGUUGUUUGUCUAAGAGCAUAUUCAAAGAAUAUUCCAAUUCUUCCAAAAGAAUGAGGGGACAAGGGGGCAAACAAAGUACAAGUGCAAUUAUUAGGGGGACCAUUUCAUUCCAUUUUCAUUUGAGACUUGAAAGAACCCUAAAUUGCCUAGUUACUCCCUAAAAAAUCUGAAACUUUCUCUUCCCAAAGUGGUGUUUGGCCGAAAUUAGGUUUUGGGAAAAUUUAAAAUUUCAAAAAGUGACAACCAACCACGUAGUGCCACGUCAUCACUUGUACUCAACCAAAAUUUGACUAUAAAAUUAGAUUUCCUAGUUUCUAAUUUUCGAUUCUAGUUUCUUUUAAGUUGAUUCUAUCACUAAUUAACAAACUAGUAAGUACCUACUAGGUUGGUAAUUAGUCUAGAGUUCGUUUAUUUCGUGGCUUCGGUUUUUUGUGUGGUUUUCUCAUUUUUAAGUCGUAGUAUUUUGUUGGUUCAAGUUCGUGUAUCACUUUAUUUGAGUCGUUUCAAACAAAGAUCGAUUCCGGACCAAAGCUUGAACCUCUCAAGUAACGUGCCAAGUAUUGCCGAUUCCCCAACACUUGUGAGGCCAAGUGUGAGGUGAGGUUGAGUGUGAGUGAAGUGAACUUGAGUUCUCUCUUUGUUUAAAUUGGCGUCACAGUGUAACUAUGGUUCAAAUUUAACCCUUUCAAUGUAUUCUUUUCAUUGUCGAAAUUAUGUUAUGUGCUUAAGGUCAUCACAAUCAGAGAGAAGUAACGAUACGAUAGAUCCGCAGGAAAUCGCGAAGUACAUGAAUUCUCUAUCUCUUUCCUUAGCUGAGAGAGAGGGAGCGCACUCUCGACAUGCAAGCAUAUCUCGUUGAAUCAGUCUUUUUCGCCACAUCGCGUAUAAGGGGAAUCGAACCGCCUCUGCGGCUGACUGGAAGUUUUAGUGUUUGUUCCAUAUCCCUCUUUGCAUUUUUAAGAAGUUAUGUUUUGAUUUAAAAUUAACAUGAAACAUAGUCAUUUUGUUUCCCCAAUUGUCCAGAAAAAUUUUGUGUAUUGUAAGGUAUUAAAUUCUCAUCAUUUGGAUUUGUUUAAAGCUAGUGGGAUUUUGCCCAAAGAAUGUUUUCAUUUGCAGUAGAUUAUCUGAGAUAUGCUUUUGCCUGCAGUUUCAUUCUAAUACCCCAUUUUGAGAUUCAUCAGGUAUUGUUGGAAGUGAUUUUUUUUCUUGUCUUAAUAGCCCAUGAGUUGACAAUGUUAUCUUUUAAAUAAAACUUAUCGGAUAGCAAUUGCCUUGAGCUACUUCACUAUUUUGCUAAUAAGAUUUAGCUUAAAAAGAGUACUUCUCUUAUUUACAAAACAAAUAUUCUUUUAAAUUUGUGCUUUAUUUUCUGUGUAUUCGAGCCGCGUACCUAUGGUACUCUUUAAGUUUUAAGAAUUGCUUACCAGGCUUUUGUAAACUAUCUAAUCUUUGAUAGCUUUACAAUUUCUUAAGUCCUCUUAUUAUUAGCUUUGAUGAUAUAGUCAAAUCAUUUUUUUUGUGCGUAUGACCGUUAAAAAGAAAAUAUGACAUUAUAUCUUUUUUUGAGGUAUAAUUUACUUCUUUCAUAUUUUUCUUAAUUAGUUAAUUGUUUUUGUUUUCUAAUAUUUUUUUUCUUUGUUUCAUGUGAACUCGGGAGCGCGUUUGGGUUUCCAUGACUUGAUCCCAUCUCUGUCCAAAUCAGAGAAGCGACAUAACAGAUGCAUUACGUAUCUUCGUCUAGCAGUCUAAUUUCUCAUUCCCUUUUUCUUCAAGAUUGAUUUUUCUUUUGUAGACAAUCAUUAUUAUUUUUGUUCUAACAAUUCUUAUAUUAUUAUUUGUGUUUUGUAUGUUCUUCUUUGAAUUGAUGCGAAUUUUUAAUGUGAUAGUAAAUUUAAUUGUUUUCUUCUUUCCUCGUAGACUUUAAACUUAGCAUAACCACUAGACUUCGGUACAUUAGUUUGUAUUUUUAAAAGGUUAAACUUGAUAGGAGAUAACAUAUCCUUUAGAAUAAUUGAUCUUAUCUUUAUAAUUAAAUUAGUUUUUCAUUAGUUACUAAUGUCGAAUUAAUAAAAUAUAGGUUUUUGUGGUAGGCGAAUUUAUCAUCGCUAGACUCAAAAAUUGGCCUUAAUUAUGUUAGAUAUGGUAAAUCAAUUCCGUUGUUAUCAAUCUUAAAUAAAAAUUAUAUUUUCGCCAAUUUGAUUCCACAAGGCUUUUUUUUUUAGGAUUUCAAAUAACUAAAAAUGUUUUUUUUAUUACAUGAGUCCUUAAGUAAUAAAAGAAAUCCUCAACUUAUUGUAGAUUUAAACAAGUAUAUUUUUGAUGUUCACUUAGUGUAGAAU